AUUAUAUAAAGACUACAGUUAAGUUAAAUUUUAAUACUAAAUUGUAUAUAAAUAGGAGAUUUUUUUUUUAAUCUUCUUUUUUAUCAGCUAUUUCUCGUAGGCCCUAGGCAUUGUGUCUAUAGUGUCUAACAGUUAAUACGACAUUACCAUUUACUAUUUUAGGACUCAACGAACUAGAUUACACAAAAAACGAUCAGACAAACCAUUAUAAUAUUAUGAUAUUGUAUCUAUAUUUGAUAUCGGUGUUCAAAAAUGUCCAAAGUUUACAGCCUAAUCAAAAUUUUAAAAACGAUCGUAAUAUUAUUUGUAUUCAAAAUUAGUGUUUUUUUGGAUUUUUAUUAUUAUUAUUAUUUUUUUUUUUUGUAAGCUCAUCAUAUACGUCAUAUUUCUGCAUCGUCUUUCAAUUAAAAAUUAUACUGUAAUCCUGUUUUAUAAUGAUGUGCAAAUUGCAUACAUUUAUUAUUAUUGUUAUUACUAAGACACACGAUAUUAUACACCAAAUUGUGUUGUACAAU